rnacentral:rRNA from 1 species
GGCAACUGCCACACUGCCCUGAGUGUACCCAACCUUCUUUGAUCCAGGAAGCUGAGUAGAGUCAGGCCUGGUUAGUACUUGGAUAGGAGAAAUCUCCCAAGUCUGGCAUCCAGGGCCUGCCA